rnacentral:rRNA from 5 species
AAAUUGAAGAGUUUGAUCAUGGCUCAGAUUGAACGCUGGCGGCAGGCCUAACACAUGCAAGUCGAACGGUAACAGGAAGCAGCUUGCUGCUUCGCUGACGAGUGGCGGACGGGUGAGUAAUGUCUGGGAAACUGCCUGAUGGAGGGGGAUAACUACUGGAAACGGUGGCUAAUACCGCAU